UGGGUAAUAGGAACGUCCUUCGAUAGGGAAGCUGGGACACUAUUCCCUUUGUCAGCAGCGUGUAUGUAGUUUGAAGGCUCCGGAUACAAUUCAUUGUCUGUUGGGUUGUUGAAUGGAAUGGCAACGGUCGGGAUCAGUUUAUUUGUGAGAGCCAGAUUGUCGCCUCUUGCUGUAUCUGCCGACAUACCUGUUAGACGAAAUUAAGAUAUUGUACCUAGUUUUGACGAUGAGCAUGAGAGGAACUCAGACAAUGGUCUGAUGGUGGCGUCCACGUAUCGUUGGAGAUAGGCUGCCGGAGAUUCGCCACAGUUUCGUUUUGCUGUCUCGAACAGACAGCUGCGAACCGCGGAGGCAAGUCUGAAAACAAAACAAAAAAUUCUAAUUAUUUUCAUCGACUCAACGGAAUCUUAAUUCAUGUACAUCUAAAUGAUGCUGACUCAAAUUGGCAUUAAUGUAUGAUCUAUACAUAAAUAUUGAAUCACAAUGUGUAAUCUUUUUGUGUUCAAUUUAUAAAUAGGCUACUGACCCGCAAAGUUCCUUUGACAUCCAUUUGAGCUCCGAUAGAUCGGACAUUGUUAACACAAACGUUCUGAUCAGUGUGAUGGCCUCUGAUGUACAUUUCUGCAUGCUCUUGUGAGAAGCCUCACUGAACAGGCAGUGAGCAUGUUUAAUGUAACCUACGGAGAAAGGAAGAUAAGUCAAGGCAACUUUAAAGAUAUUCCGACUAUGUGCUAUAAUAUGGGAAAGUACAUGUACAUGUAGAGUACCUACCCUGUUUGCCUUGGUUACAGAGGAAGAAGCCCGAGGACUUUGCGGUGUCGUACAGUAGACGGUCGCCUGGACUGCAGGCCGACAUUUUGUUUUCAGUGCAUGUAAACACUUUCUGUAGUCCACUGUUAGUAAAAUAUCAGAAUAUAGUGAUUAAACAUUCAUCACACAUUGACA